rnacentral:lncRNA from 1 species
CCCCUUUUCUGUUUGGUCGCCUUCUCUUUCCUUUCUCCUUCCUACUCUUGUCAGUUUUUUUAAUCUCUUCUCCCACCAUGAAAUUAAUUUCCUUUAUAUAUUUGGUCAAGUAGAAUCAAGAGGAUCUCCCACUCCCCUUCUCUCACUAUUUUCACUGUCCCAAGCUCCCUUUCCUCUUGUGGUCGUCACGAAUAUAUUUAUAUAGGUAGAUUUAAGAAAAAUAAAUGCGUGUCCCCAUUCUCUCACUUCCUCCAUCUUGUCUCCCAAAUUCCACACAGUUAAAACUUGGGGCCCCCUCCAUCACCAAACACUGAAUAUUGUUUAUUUGAGGUUUGUGCCUCAGUCACAGACACAGCAUUUAACUUUACAUGCAGAAGUUUGCUGGUCUAGCCACUGUAAAUUUUAUUUAACCUUUAGUUGUUUGUUUGUUUGUUUUGGGGGAGUUGCUUGGGGACGAGGUUGGUUUUGUUUACAAUAUAUAUUGUAAACAUAAAAACCUGUCACUGGGGGCUGGAAAGAUGGCUCAGAGGUUAAGAGCACUCACUGCUCUUCCAGAGUACCUGAGUUCAAUUCCCAGCACCCACAUGGCGGCUCACAACUGUCUGCAACUCCAGUUCCAGGGGAUCUGCUACCUUCACACCAAGGCACAUAAAAUAAAGUUUAAAAAAAAAAACCAGAAAACUGUUAAAAAAAAAAACUGUCACUUGAAAAAAACAAAAACAGUAAAUAAAUAUUAGAACUAAUCUCUGCAAUUAAAAAUUGAGUAAACAUUCUAUUAAAAAGAUAAUAAAGCUGUGAAAGCAUAUACAUACAAUAAACAUACAAGCAACUUAAAAAAAAAAAGCUAAUCAAGCAGGGCGUUGGUGGCACACACCUUUAAUCCCAGCACUCUGGAGGCAGAGGCAGGCAGAUCUCUGUGAGUUUGAGGUCAACCUGGUCUCCAGAGCGAGUGCCAGGAUAGGCUUCAAAGCUACACAGAGAAACCUUGUCUCGAAAAACCAAAAGAAAAAAAGCUAAUCAGGUAUAAACUUGCAUGUAUGUGUGUGUACAUGUGUGUGUUUUUAUAUGUGUGUGCGUGAACGUGUGUGUGUGUGUGUGUGUGUGUGUGUGUGUGUGUGUGUAUGUGUGUGUGUAUGUAUGUGUGUCUUAGAGUUUCUAUUGCUGUGAUGAAACACCAUAACCAUAAAGCAAGUUGGUGAGAAAGGGAUUUAUUUGGCUUACACUUCCAUAUUGAAUCCCUUCAUCAUUGAAGGAAGUCAGGACAGGAACUCAAACAGGGCAGAAACCUGGAGGCAGAAGCUAAUGCAAGGGUCUUAGAGGGGUAAUGCUUAUUGGCUUGCUCAACCUGCUUUCUUAUAGAACCCCAGACCACUUUUUCAGAGGUGGCACCACCCACAAUGAACUAGGCCCUCCCUCAUCAAUCAUUAAUUAAGAAAAUGCCCAACCAGCUUACCUGCAGCCUGAUUUUAUGGAGGCAUUUUCUUAAUUGAGGUUCCCUCCUCUCAGAUGACUUUAGCUUGCAUCAAGUUGACAUAAAACAAUCCAGCACAGUCAGCACAGUGUGUGUGUGUGUGUGUGUGUGUGUGUGUGUGUGUGUGUGUGUUUGAAAUAGAGUACAAAAAGUGCUUGAGGCAACCUUAUUUUUCUGCAGUACAGACAUAGAUCCACAUGCUGAGGAAACUCUGGGUGGAAACAGUAACUAACGAUAGUGGGUGCUAAGUAACACUGGUGUUCCUUCUAUAGUACACUCAAACCUACAAGGACUUCUCCUUGUUAAAGUUAUAGAUUUCGAGAUGAGAUCAGAGCACUGACUAGGUCACUCAGCUCUCUCCAGCUUCAUUCUCCACGGGUACUGCAGACUCAUUCUCUCUGGGUCCCUCCUUGCUGAUUGGCAGUUCUCAAGGCUCCUCUAAGCACUGCCCCCUCCUGUCACCACUUAACAGUCAGUGCUAUUCUUGUCAGACCCAUUCCUGCCAGUGAGGCUUCAAGCAUGCUCUCCACUCUAUUUACCCCUUCAAGAACCCCAGGAAGUUCCUGACAUCACAGGCCCACAUAGUCAAGGAACUCCAGCCAACUGCUGUGUGGAUACUGCAUGUUGAUGAUGGUAACAUUUAAAUUGGACACAUUUACAGUAAUUCUCAUCCUCAUGCUGUUUCCAGGCUGCAUUUAGAGCGAGGAGCAUUCCAGUGCAGCUAGAGCGAUAACACAGCCUUUCCCGGAAGGCGGCAGCAUUUUCUCAGUACCUGGGUCUGAGUGUAGUAGACUAUUCCAGUGUAGUACACUAUGUCUCACUCACUAUGCUGGGCCUAGAGGCCCAGUGGGGAAGUGUCUUACAGUGGAUUGAUUUUCUUUUUUCUUUUUUUCCUGAUUGUUUGUCUGAGACAGGGUUCUACUAUGUAGCCCUGGCUGGCCAUGAACUUACUAUGUAGACCAGACUGGACUCAAAUUCACAGAGAUUGACCUGUCUCUGUCUCCCAAAUGCUGGGAUUAAAAAGAGUGCCACCAUAUCUGGCCUAGUAGAUUUGGUUUUCAAUGCCAAAUACGGGGGUGGGGGGGU